GGCUUCGUAGCUCAGCUGGUAGAGCGCUUGCCGCGAUUAUGCAUGCCGUGUCUGUCGCUGCUUCGAAUCCAGCCGAAGCCC
rnacentral:tRNA from 1 species